rnacentral:rRNA from 1 species
UACGGAGGGGGGCUAGCGUUGUUCGGAAUUACUGGGCGUAAAGCGCACGUAGGCGGCUUUUGUAAGUUAGAGGUGAAAGCCCCAGAGCUCAACUCUGGAACUGCCUUUAAGACUGCAUCGCUUGAAUCAUGGAGAGGUUAGUGGAAUUCCGAGUGUAGAGGUGAAAUUCGUAGAUAUUCGGAAGAACACCAGUGGCGAAGGCGACUAACUGGACAUGUAUUGACGCUGAGGUGCGAAAAGCGUGGGGGAGCAAACAGG